rnacentral:tRNA from 1 species
GAGCCGGGGCCAUAGCUCAGCUGGGAGAGCACCUGCUUUGCAAGCAGGGGGUCGUCGGUUCGAUCCCGACUGGCUCCACCAUCGCGGGCAACGUCGUCACGACGGGUCUGUAGCUCAGGUGGUUAGAGCGCGCCCCUGAUAAGGGCGAGGUCGGAGGUUCGAGUCCUCCUAGACCCACCAC